GGGGAUGUGGCUCAGUGGUAGAGAAUUUGCCUUAUAUACACAAGGUCCUGGGUGAUUCCCAGUACUUCA
rnacentral:tRNA from 1 species